rnacentral:rRNA from 1 species
UCGGGAAUUUUGGGCAAUGGGCGAAAGCCUGACCCAGCAACGCCGCGUGAAGGAUGAAGUAUUUCGGUAUGUAAACUUCGUAAGAAUAGGAAGAAUAAAUGACGGUACUAUUUGUAAGGUCCGGCUAACUACGUGCCAGCAGCCGCGGUAAUACGUAGGGACCAAGCGUUGUUCGGAUUUACUGGGCGUAAAGGGCGCGUAGGCGGUGUGUCAAGUCAGUUGUGAAAUCUCCGAGCUUAACUCGGAACGGUCAACUGAUACUGUCACACUAGAGUACAGAAGGGGCAAUCGGAAUUCUUGGUGUAGCGGUGAAAUGCGUAGAUAUCUGGAGGAAUACCGGUGGCGAAGGCGGCCACCUGGACUGAUACUGACACUGAGGUGCGAAAGCGUGGGGAGCAAACAGGAUUAGAUACCCCAGUAGUCCCUGAGCGGGCUGGCAAGGCGCAU